rnacentral:rRNA from 1 species
UACGGAGGGUGCGAGCGUUAUCCGGAUUCACUGGGUUUAAAGGGUGCGUAGGUGGGAAUGUAAGUCAGUGGUGAAAUCUCCGUGCUUAACAUGGAAACUGCCAUUGAUACUAUGUUUCUUGAAUUUUCCGGAGGUAAGCGGAAUAUGUCAUGUAGCGGUGAAAUGCUUAGAUAUGACAUAGAACACCAAUUGCGAAGGCAGCUUACUACAGGGAUAUUGACACUGAGGCACGAAAGCGUGGGGAUCAAACAGG